CCUACGGUGGGCAGCAGUGAGGAAUAUUGGUCAAUGGGCGCGAGUCUGAACCAGCCAAGUAGCGUGAAGGAUGACUGCCCUACGGGUUGUAAACUUCUUUUAUAAAGGAAUAAAGUGAGGCACGUGUGCCUUUUUGUAUGUACUUUAUGAAUAAGGAUCGGCUAACUCCGUGCCAGCAGCCGCGGUAAUACGGAGGAUCCGAGCGUUAUCCGGAUUUAUUGGGUUUAAAGGGAGCGUAGGUGGAUUGUUAAGUCAGUUGUGAAAGUUUGCGGCUCAACCGUAAAAUUGCAGUUGAAACUGGCAGUCGUGAGUACAGUAGAGGUGGGCGGAAUUCGUGGUGUAGCGGUGAAAUGCUUAGAUAUCACGAAGAACUCCGAUUGCGAAGGCAGUUCACUGGACUGCAACUGACACUGAGGCUCGAAAGUGUGGGUAUCAAACAGGAUUAGAUACCCUUGUAGUC
rnacentral:rRNA from 1 species